rnacentral:rRNA from 1 species
GACGAACGCUGGCGGCGUGCUUAACACAUGCAAGUCGAACGGAAAGGCCCUGCUUUUGUGGGGUGCUCGAGUGGCGAACGGGUGAGUAACACGUGAGUAACCUGCCCUUGACUUUGGGAUAACUUCAGGAAACUGGGGCUAAUACCGGAUAGGAGCUCCUGCUGCAUGGUGGGGGUUGGAAAGUUUCGGCGGUUGGGGAUGGACUCGCGGCUUAUCAGCUUGUUGGUGGGGUAGUGGCUUACCAAGGCUUUGACGGGUAGCCGGCCUGAGAGGGUGACCGACCACAAUGGGACUGAGAUACGGCCCAGACUCCUACGGGAGGCAGAAGUGGGGAAUAUUGCACAAUGGGCGGAAGCCUGAUGCAGCAACGCCGCGUGCGGGAUGACGGCCUUCGGGUUGUAAACCGCUUUCGCCUGUGACGAAGCGUGAGUGACGGUAAUGGGUAAAGAAGCACCGGCUAACUACGUG